rnacentral:rRNA from 1 species
AGUGAACGCUGGCGGCGUGCUUAACACAUGCAAGUCGAGCGAAGUUUGCAGCACAUCGCAAGCUUAGCGGCAGACGGGUGAGUAAUAUUUGGGCAAUCUGCCCUUGAGUGGGGGACAACCUGCCGAAAGGCGGGCUAAUACCCCAUAAGACCACAGGGAUGCAUAUCCAAGGGGUCAAAGCUCCGCAAGGGGCGCUUGAGGAGGAGCCCGAAUCCUANCAUGGUAGUUGGCGGGGUAAUGGCCCACCAAGCCGUUGACGGGUAGCCGGCCUGAAAGGGCAAACGGCCACACUGGCACUGAGACACGGGCCAGACUCCUACGGGAGGCAGCAGUGGGAAUUUUGGACAAUGGGGGCAACCCUGAUCCAGCGACGCCGCGUGGAGGAUGAAGGUCUUCGGAUUGUAAACUCCUUUUGGAGGGGAUGAAUGCCUGUGUGAAAACGCAGGGUGACAGUACUCUCUGAAUAAGCCACGGCUAACUACGUGCC